rnacentral:tRNA from 1 species
CAGGGAGACAACACAAUGAUUUUGAUGCCUGAGUGCUUUUAUUCUUAGGCCGAAAUCCUGUCACCUUAGGUCGAUCGGUACCUCAGCUUUGAAGUCAAGGAUCAGCAGCAAUGUUGAUUGCUUGAUGGAGAUUUUCAGUUCCUAAACUUUGUCUAGGUCACACCCCAAAAGGGAUGAGACUCCUGGGCCAUUAGCUCAGGUGGUUAGAGCGCACCCCUGAUAAGGGUGAGGUCCCUGGUUCAAGUCCAGGAUGGCCCAUUCGGUGUUGGGGGUUUAGCUCAGUUGGUAGAGCGCCUGCUUUGCAAGCAGGAUGUCAGGAGUUCGAGUCUCCUAACCUCCACUGACCGAACUUGAUUCCCAUCUCCAUUUUUUUGGAGUUGAGCUCGAUUGGAGUGUGAUUUAGAUGUGUCCGCUGGAUGACCCCAGCUUCCUGUCAUUCCAAGUUUUAGGUUGAUGCCUUGAAUUUGGUUGAUAAGAUGCUGGGCUCGGAUCAAAUGAUCAAGCAAUUGAUGAUUUGAUUUGAAGUUCUAGCAGAACCUUGACAACUGCAUAGGUGAGUCUGGAAAAAACAAAGCAUCUUACAGAUGCAUUGUUUUGAAUCUGAUCUUCUGAAAGGGAGAUUGGAUCUAGAACAAUGAAAAUUCUUUUGAGCAAGAGCCGAGACUCUUGAGCGUUCUUUGAUUGGUGUCGAGCCAAUCAGAGUUUGAUCUUGUUUUUAGCAAUAAAAACUUGAGAAUCUGCUUUCAACGGCGGUAAGCGUUCAAGAGGUUAAUU